AUUGAACGCUGGCGGCAUGCCUUACACAUGCAAGUCGAACGGCAGCACGGGAGCAAUCCUGGUGGCGAGUGGCGAACGGGUGAGUAAAGUAUCGGAACGUGCCCAGUCGUGGGGGAUAACGUAGCGAAAGUUACGCUAAUACCGCAUACGAUCUAUGGAUGAAAGCGGGGGAUCGCAAGACCUCGCGCGAUUGGAGCGGCCGAUAUCAGAUUAGGUAGUUGGUGGGGUAAAGGCCCACCAAGCCGACGAUCUGUAGCUGGUCUGAGAGGACGACCAGCCACACUGGGACUGAGACACGGCCCAGACUCCGACGGGAGGCAGCAGUGGGGAAUUUUGGACAAUGGGCGAAAGCCUGAUCCAGCCAUGCCGCGUGCAGGAUGAAGGCCUUCGGGUUGUAAACUGCUUUUGUACGGAACGAAAAGGACCGCCCUAAUACGGUGGUCCCAUGACGGUACCGUAAGAAUAAGCACCGGCUAACUACGUGCCAGCAGCCGCCGUAA
rnacentral:rRNA from 1 species